rnacentral:rRNA from 1 species
GCUACGGGCGGCAGCAGUGAGGAAUAUUGGUCAAUGGACGAGAGUCUGAACCAGCCAAGUAGCGUGAAGGAUGACUGCCCUAUGGGUUGUAAACUUCUUUUAUAUGGGAAUAAAAUGUUCCACGUGUGGGAUUUUGUAUGUACCAUAUGAAUAAGGCUCGGCUAACUCCGUGCCAGCAGCCGCGGUAAUCCGGAGGAUCCGAGCGUUAUCCGGAUUUAUUGGGUUUAAAGGGAACGGAGGGGGAUUGUUAAGUCAGUUGUGAAAGUUUGCGGGUCAACCGUAACAUUGCCGUUGAAGCGGGCAGUCUGGAGUAAAGAAGAGGUGGGCGGAAUGCGUGGUGUAGCGGUGAAAUGCUUAGAUAUCACGAAGAACCCCGAUUGCGAAGGCAGUUCACUGGACUGCAACUGACACUGAGGCUCGAAAGCGUGGGUAUCAAACAGGAUUAGAUACCCUGGUAGUC